AUUCAAGGAAUGUGUGUGAAGGCUGUGUAAAAGGGAAGCAUCACCGAGAGAAAUUUGAUCAAGGGGAAGCAUGGAGAGCCAAACAUCCACUGGAACUUGUGCAUACUGACCUCUGUGGACCAAUGCAGGCAGAAUCAAUUGGUGGGAAUAGGUACUUUCUUACCUUUAUUGAUGACUACUCUAGAAUGUGUUGGGUAUAUUUCCUCCGAAAUAAAUCUGACACAUUAAGUGUUUUCAAGAAAUUUAAAAUACUUGUUGAGACACAAAGUGGCUACUCUCUAAAAAAAUUGAGAAGUGAUAGAGGAGGAGAAUAUACCUCCUAUGAAUUUCAGAAUUAUUGUGCAAGUCUGGGUGUGGAGAGGCAGCUCACAGUAGCAUAUUCUCCUCAGCAGAAUGGAGUGGCUGAGAGGAGAAAUAGGACCAUAGGAGAAAUGGCAAGAUCAAUGUUGAUUGAGAAAGGAAUACCCACUGAAUUCUGGGGAGAGGCAGUGAAUAUUGCUGUGUAUCUUCAAAAUAGGUGUGUUACAUCAGCUGUGGAGGGUAAGACACCAUUUGAAGCCUUCACGGGAAGGAAGCCUGGAAUUAAACACUUAAGGGUGUUUGGGUGUGUAUGUUACACACUCAUUCCAGCAGCACUAAGACAGAAACUGGACAGUAAGGCAGAGAAGGGAGUGUUUAUGGGUUAUGGAAGUUGUGAGAAAGGAUAUCGGGUGUAUAUUCUGGAUUCAAAGAAGAUAGUGCUGUCAAGAAGUGUUGUUUUUUAUGAGAGCAGGUUCUGGAAUUGGACUGAAAAUCACAUGGAAUCAGUCACACAGCAACUAAGGUUUGAAUGCAACAAAGAAGAGAGUGAAGUAGAAGAAACAAAUGUAGAUGUUGCACAGAAUUAUGAUGGCAUUGAUCAGUUAAGCUCACCUGCAAAUGGUUCAGUGACAGAAUCAGUUGAGAAUAUCAGUCAAGGAUCAUCACCUAGUUCAACUCCAGUGAAGUUAAGGAGCAUUGAAGACAUUUAUAAUAGAUGUCACAUGAGCUUCAUUGAACCAGAAAAUUAUCAAGAAGCAGCAAAGAGUAAAGACUGGCAGGAUGCAAUGAGAACUGAAUUAGAGAUGAUAGAGAAGAAUCAUACCUGGGAGCUGAUUGACAGACCUUCUGAUGCGCCUGUGAUAGGUGUGAAAUGGGUCUUCAAGACAAAGCUCAAUCUUGAUGGGUCCAUACACAAGCAUAAGGCUAGACUUGUAGCCAAGGGAUAUGCUCAAAAACCAGGGGUGGAUUACAAUGAGACUUUUGCUCCAGUAGCAAGGUUGGAUACUAUAAGGACUCUCAUUGCGUUGGCAGCUCAAAAGGGUUGGAAAUUAUUCCAACUAGAUGUUAAGUCAGCAUUUCUAAAUGGAAUGCUUGACGAGGAGGUGUAUGUGGAGCAACCCGAGGGGUUUGAAGUGAAGGGGUCCAGCCACAAGGUGUAUAAACUAUACAAGGCUCUAUAUGGACUUAAACAAGCCCCUAGAGCCUGGUAUGGUGAAAUCGAUGCUUAUCUUACAAGUUGCAAAUUUGAAAGGAGUGCAAGUGAAGCAACUUUGUACACCAGAAGUGAUAGUGAAGGAGGCCAGAUCAUUAUCUCAAUAUAUGUUGAUGAUAUAGUGUAUACUGGAAGUAGUGAAAGGAUGAUGACUGAGUUUAAGAGGGAGAUGAUGCAGAGGUAUGAAAUGUCAGACCUAGGGCUUCUUCAUCACUUUCUAGGGAUUGGUGUAUUGCAGACCAAUCAAGGAGUUUUUAUUCACCAAAGUAAGUAUGCUAAGUCUCUACUUACUAAGUUCGGACUUGAGGACUGCAAUCCAGUUGCAAUUCCUCUAACCGUGGGUGAAAAAUUAAAGAAGGAGGAUGGCAGUGAACCUGCAGAUGAAGGGUUGUAUAGAAGGAUAGUG
rnacentral:lncRNA from 1 species